GCCCAGGUAGCUCAGUCGGUAGAGCAGCGGACUGAAAAUCCGCGUGUCGGUGGUUCGAAUCCGCCCCUGGGCACCA
rnacentral:tRNA from 2 species